CUUCGCUCGAUUCGUCCUCCCUCGCCUCUCGCCUCACGGACGAACUCACGAACAGAAACCAAUCCACGAUUCACGAAUCGAAAUCGCAAUCGGCCUUGACUCAAUCGGCUAUCGCUCUCGCUCUCGUUCUCUGCCUCUCUCGGGUCUCGACUAUCGACCGGCUCUUGCUCUCGCAUCUUGUGGCUUGUGAGGUACGGGAAAAGAGGUAGAGGAAAGUAAUUUGCUGCAGAAACUAUCAGAAGCUUGCAUUGUUGAUUUCUCUUAGAUUGACUCUUCAACUACACAAAAAAGGAGGAAAGAGGUUAUUACUAUAAGGCCUUAACGC